CCCUUAGAUGUUCUGGGCUGCACGCGCGCUACACUGAUGCGCUCAACGAGUUUACGACCUUGCCCGGAAGGGUUGGGUAAUCUUUUUAAAACGCAUCGUGAUGGGGAUAGAUUAUUGCAAUUAUUAAUCUUGAACGAGGAAUUCCUAGUAAACGCAGAUCAUCAAUCUGCAUUGAUUACGUCCCUGCCCUUUGUACACACCGCCCGUCGCACCUACCGAUUGGAUGGUCCGGUGAAGCCUCGGGAUUGUGGUUCUUGCCGCUUUAUUGUGGCGUGACCGCGAGAACUUGUCUAAACCUUAUCAUCUAGAGGAAGGUGAAGUCGUAACA
rnacentral:rRNA from 1 species